CUUGGCAGAAGUCUCGCUGCUCAACAAGCUGAUCCGCACAUCCCUCGUGGAGUCCAGCCACUGCGUAGAGGUCCUGCAGCAGGACCCCAGCUCCCCGCUCUUCUCUGUCAAAAGCUUCGAAGAGCUGCCCCUGAAGAAGGAGCUUUUGCAGGGGGUUUACAUCAUGGGCUUCAACAGACCAUCCAAAAUCCAGGAGAUGGCUCUGCCGAUCAUGCUGGCAUAUCCGCCCCAAAAUCUGAUUGCCCAGAGCCAGUCAGGGACAGGGAAAACAGCAGCUUUUGUCUUGGCGAUGCUGAGCAGAGUUAAUGCCACUGAGAAAUACCCGCAGUGCCUCUGCUUGGCUCCCACCUACGAGCUGGCCCUGCAAAUUGGGUGCGUGAUUGAGAGCAUCGGGAGGUUUUGUGCUGAUGUGAAGGUUACAUACGCUGUCCGGGGAAAUAGAGUUCUGCAGGGCACCAGGCUGCAGGAGCAGAUCGUCAUCGGGACUCCGGGGACGAUGCUGGACUGGUGCUUCAAACGCAGACUCAUAGACAUGAAGAAGGUCAAGUUGUUUGUGCUGGAUGAAGCCGACAUCAUGAUGGACACUCAGGGCCUCUGCUGUCAAAGCAUGCGUGUUCAGAGGGCUUUACCCAGCGGCUGCCAGAUGCUGCUGUUCUCAGCUACAUUCAAGGAAAACGUGCGGGCAUUUGCCAUGCAGAUAAUCUCCAACCCCAUCGUGAUAAAGCUGCGCAAGGACGAGCUCACCCUGAGCAACAUCCGGCAGUACUACUUCAUGUGCAGGAACAGGGAAGAGAAGUACAGAGCCCUCUGCAAUAUCUAUGGCAGCAUCACCAUCGGCCAGGCUAUGAUCUUCUGCCAGACUCGGAGGAGCGCGGACUGGUUGUCGGUGGAGAUGAGCCAAGAUGGGCACCAGGUCGCCAUCCUGACAGCAGAGCUGACAGUAGCCCAGCGGGCCCACGUCAUCCAGCGCUUCCGUGACGGGAAGGAAAAGGUCCUCAUCGCCACCAACGUCUGCGCCAGAGGCAUUGAUGUGCAGCAGGUCACCGUUGUGGUGAACUUCACCCUUCCCACCGGGCAGAAGAACCAGCCGGAUUUCGAGACCUACCUCCACCGCAUCGGGCGAACGGGACGUUUUGGGAAGAAGGGCAUCGCCUUCAGCAUGGUGGAAAGUCAGAACUUGGAGCUCGUGCGGAUGAUAGAGGAACAUUUCCGCAUUUUAUCUACCUUUACCCUGCAAGUCCUGGUCCGGGGGGAGCUGGUACCCCAGCUUAGCCCUGGAUGGGGGAGAAAAGCCAGCCGCUGAAACCUUACCUGACUGCAAAUCGCUCAUCACUCACAAACAUCAUGAGGAUUUCCAUGGAGUUUUCAAGAGGCUGUCGCUGCACCAGUGGCUUUUCAAAUCCCAGUGCCUGUUUUCCCUGUGGUUAUUUUAAGGGAAAAGAGAGUUAUCUUCUGAGUGGCAGAAGUGUCAGGCAACGGAUGAGCAGCUCGAAUAACCACGAGGUGGGAUGAGCCUGACCACAGGCACAGCCAGAAUUAGCCAGAAGAGCCCAGUGUGGGAUUUCCAAGGAUGAAAAUCCGAGCAGAUGAACUCCCAGCCACCCAACUUUUUCCUUCUUAAUGUUGCAAUUCAAGGGCUGGGGCCUGGAUAAAGGAACUUCCCCUUCUGGCAUCGCUGUGGAGAGACCAAGAUCAAGCAGCUGGACCCGGACAACAUGGACGAGCUCGAGAAGCUUGAAAACUGAGUGAGCAAUGGGGAUUUGCUCUCCCAGAUCACAGUUCUGGCUCAAAACAGGAGGAAAAGUUCCAGGGGAAAAUCUCCCAGUUCACGUUUUCUCAAGCUGUUUAGUUUUGUUACAGUGUUUUAAGAGGCGGCAAGGGGGAGCCCUCAGCCCUAGCGGUUAUUGUUCUUGCUUUUGUCCCUUGUUGUAUCCCCAAGGUUUUCAUAGCCUGAGGGAUCCCCUAAGGAGUUUAACAUGAGGUAAAGCUCCCCAAAAAUGGGUCUAGGUACGCUCGGAGGGGUCAGAAAAUGGGCAAAAUCCAGUAACUGGCCCAAAAAAUCCGCUGCUGGUCUGCAGGCAGCAGUGGCGGGUGGCGUUUCUGUCAGAAACAGCUCAGAAAAAAACUUUUGUAACUUAACUCCUUUCUCCUGAUUUUUUUCUUUUAAAAAAGCCCAAACUAACCCCUUCUCGCUAGAUGGCAGCAGGCAGCCGCCACCAUCCCCAAUCCCACCGGGGCCCAAACGAGGGACACGUUUGUCCCCAAAAGAUUUUCCCAGCACUGGCGCCGAUCUCUGACAAAACGGAAUGAUUUAUCCCCGAAGGCGUUGGGAGCCUCCCGCUCGGUAUUAACGGUGUCGGGUUUGGUAACGAGCAAUUAAUUGUAAUUAAGGAAGUGGCGGCGGGGUGGGGGAGGAGGGACACCAGGUAAUUUUCUGCUGUUUUGG